CUUGUCUAUAGAGGACACAGCAUAGCACUAUUAAAGGCAUUCACAUCACCCAGUAUGAUGAUGCAAACGCUCUAUGUUAUAGGAGAUGCACUCUGAACAUCUGAAAAAAGUCAUCAGAUUUGGGGGUAUAGCUCAGUGGUAGAGCAUUUGACUGCAGAUCAAGAGGUCCCCAGUUCAAAUCUGGGUGCCCCCUUUUUAAAAACAACUUAGAAAGCAUAGGAUAUGGAAAUUAUUCUACUAUUGAGUACUUGUAUCAGGCAACAGGUGUUGCGAAAACUGUAAACCAAUAGCAACUGAGCAUUGUUUCUGGAUGUUGGAUUCAGUAGAAAAUUAUAGCUUAGGUUAAGAAUCUUCUCAGAAAAUGCCAGCUUGUCUAUAGAGGACACAGCAUUGCACUAUUAAAGGCAUUCACAUCACCCAGUAUGAUGAUGCAAACGCUCUAUGUGAUAGGAGAUGCACGCUGAACAUCUGAAAAAAGUCAUCAGAUUUGGGGGUAUAGCUCAGUGGUAGAGCAUUUGACUGCAGAUCAAGAGGUCCCCAGUUCAAAUCUGGGUGCCCCCUCUUUAAAUAACUUCUU
ensembl:lncRNA